CCUACGGGAGGCAGCAGUGGGGAAUAUUGCACAAUGGGCGAAAGCCUGAUGCAGCAACGCCGCGUGAGCGAUGAAGGCCUUCGGGUCGUUAAGCUCUGUCCUCAAGGAAGUUAAUGACGGUACUUGAGGAGUAAGCCCCGGCUAUCUCCGUGCCAGCAGCCGUGGUACUACGUAGGGGGCUAGCGUUAUCCGGAAGUACUGGGCGUAAAGGGUGCGUAGGUGGUUUUUUAAGUCAGAGGUGAAAGGCUACGGCCCAACCGAAGUAAGCCUUUGAAACUGGGAAACUUGAGUGCAGGAGAGGAGAGUGGAAUUCCUAGUGUAGCGGUGAAAUGCUUAGAUAUUAGGAGGAACACCAGUUGCGAAGGCAGCUCUCUGGACUGUAACUGACACUGAGGCACGAAAGCGUGGGGAGCAAACAGGAUUAGAUACCCGAGUAGUC
rnacentral:rRNA from 1 species